rnacentral:rRNA from 1 species
UACGAAGGGGGCUAGCGUUGUUCGGAUUUACUGGGCGUAAAGCGCACGUAGGCGGAUCGUUAAGUUAGGGGUGAAAUCCUGGAGCUCAACUCCAGAACUGCCUCUAAUACUGGCGAUCUAGAGUCCGGAAGAGGUGAGUGGAACUCCUAGUGUAGAGGUGGAAUUCGUAGAUAUUAGGAAGAACACCAGUGGCGAAGGCAGCUCACUGGUCCGGUACUGACGCUGAGGUGCGAAAGCGUGGGGAGCAAACAGG